AAUUGAAGAGUUUGAUCAUGGCUCAGAUUGAACGCUGGCGGCAGGCCUAACACAUGCAAGUCGAACGGUAACAGGAAGAAGCUUGCUUCUUUGCUGACGAGUGGCGGACGGGUGAGUAAUGUCUGGGAAACUGCCUGAUGGAGGGGGAUAACUACUGGAAACGGUAGCUAAUACCGCAUAACGUCGCAAGACCAAAGAGGGGGACCUUCGGGCCUCUUGCCAUCGGAUGUGCCCAGAUGGGAUUAGCUUGUUGGUGGGGUAACGGCUCACCAAGGCGACGAUCCCUAGCUGGUCUGAGAGGAUGACCAGCCACACUGGAACUGAGACACGGUCCAGACUCCUACGGGAGGCAGCAGUGGGGAAUAUUGCACAAUGGGCGCAAGCCUGAUGCAGCCAUGCCGCGUGUAUGAAGAAGGCCUUCGGGUUGUAAAGUACUUUCAGCGGGGAGGAAGGGAGUAAAGUUAAUACCUUUGCUCAUUGACGUUACCCGCAGAAGAAGCACCGGC
rnacentral:rRNA from 1 species